rnacentral:lncRNA from 1 species
AAGAAAAUAAAAAAAAGGAAAUAAUAUCCCUCUGCCUCCAAUUGUCAGGCACCACAUGGCGAUUCUUAUCCUCUCAAUGAGUGACACCCAGCUGGCAUUUAUGUGAUCAAGCGGUGCACUCCCAUUGGUUGAGAUAUUCAAUUGAAAAAAAAGAAGAAAUAAACGUUAGGAUUUGGCGGAUUGCAACAACGAUAUCAACUUUUGCUGAAAAAGAAAAAAAAACAUCUCCUGCUAUCACUCUCAAUACUCUCCCUCACAUGUUAAUCUUUCUCUCCUUUCUAUCUCAGAAUCUUUUUUCUAAAAAAAAAAACACUUCAAAAGUCUAAGACAAAAACUCAAACUCGUCUCCUUCUUCCCUUCACACCCAUAAACUUCACUUCCAUAUUAUUGAGAAUAUAUCAAGUGUGAGUAGUGUGGAUAAUAGUCCCACUACUCACACUUGUGGUAAUGUAGAGACUUGAACAUUUAUAAGUGAGAGAACUCACUCACCUAUCACCUUAAGAUUUUGGGUAAAUAUAUGGUGUGUCUCUAACAAAGAGGUUGUUCUAGAAAAGAAGUCUCUCAAUGUUCAAUGUUCCAUAGUGAAAAAAAACUCUCCCAAUUUCUGUUUGGCAUGUAUAAAUAUGGUUCUGAGUUCGAUUCGGCCAAUAAUUUAAGCAAGUUGAGUGGAUUUUCGAUGCUACAUACGACGUCAAAGUUCCAUGGAUAUGUUGAUUCGAAGAAUGUUCUAAAGCUUGUGUUGCUUUUAAGAUUUGAUUCUAUUUGAGUCAUUGUUUCGACAACGGUACCAUGUUUUUAUAUUUUAUAAUCCUUAAUGAUGUAAAUUCUAUGAUGAUGGGUUAAAUGUUGUGAUUAAAUUUCAAAAUCCAAGUUUGUUUUUAUAAUGAAUGACUUGUUGUUGAAAUAAUAGAAACAAUUUUUAUUUUAAUUUCAGUGUGUAUUUAGUUUUUGAUUCGAUUUUGUUGCGAUAUUGUUGCAUCUUUUGUUUGAGAUUCGAAUGAUAUUAUUUGGUAAAUAAUAUUGCAUUUUAUCCCGAUGUGUUGCCUGCUGCAUUUAUGUUAAAUGAUUCAA